rnacentral:tRNA from 33 species
CGCUACGGACUUAAAAUCCGUCGACUUUAAAAAUCGUGAGGGUUCAAGUCCCUCUAUCCCCA